CAAAACACUCUCCUCCUUGAAAGCAACCGAAACUUGGUGUUGUUGGUGUCCAUAGUAGGCCGGAUUUCAGCUGAACUUCACUUGAAGCUUGGGGAUAGAGGGAGGAUCUUUUCACUAGUAGCUUUUCAGAGCGGCUAGCAAUCCGUAGCGAGCUGUAGUUCGCGGGACUUGGUGAACCCAACUCUGUAGCUCGGAGCCAGUUAGACUCUCGCACUGUAUAAUUCCUUAUUUCUGGCAAUAAUUAUUAUUUUAAUUACUGCAUUGUUUAAUAAUUUCAUUUAUUAAUUAUUUUAUUAUUGCAUUAUUUAUUCAGUAUCUCUAUUGUCUGUAUUUUGAAUUUCUGCGGAUUUUUAGUACAUCUUCAUUUCUGGCUCACCCAGCUAGGAGGAGUAAGUCCUAGCCAUGUGCACAUGUUUUUCUGUAUUAGCGCUACCGGACAUGCGUGUCCGUUCUGACUGCGGUCGAAGAUCCAGCUCCGGCUGUUGAUAUUCUGUUCUGUUCCGACUUCACAGUCGAUGAUCAAGCUUCAUGCUGUUGAUUUCUGUUAUCAGUCAGGGAGAUGAGAAGAUCAAGCUUAGGUUCAGUGGGUUAUUCUGGGGCUUCUUUUGUAGUUGUGAUUUGUCAGUACCUGUUCCUUGAGGUUGUGAACCUUGUGUGCUAUUUUAUUCUGUACGAGUGAGACUUGUAUCAUGUUUGUGUAUUUUGGCAUGUAAACUAUUUGUGUACUCUGUAGGACUGUCACAGUCCAUUUCUGUAUUAUCCCAAUUUCUGUGACUCUCUCUUUAGUCAAUAUUAUUGUUUCUAUUCUGCUUGUUAGGGUUGACUCUGACCAGGUUAAUCUGAGGCCUUGCACCCAGUGGGGCCCAGUUCCAUUGGAUGCGGCC